rnacentral:rRNA from 1 species
CCCUUAGAUGUUCUGGGCCGCACGCGCGCUACACUGUCGGAUUCAGCGAGUCUUAACCUUAACCGAAAGGUUUGGGUAAUCUUUUGAAAGUCCGACGUGAUGGGGAUUGAUCAUUGCAAUUUUUGAUCUUGAACGAGGAAUUCCUAGUAAGCGCGAGUCAUCAGCUCGCGUUGAUUACGUCCCUGCCCUUUGUACACACCGCCCGUCGCUACUACCGAUUGAAUGGUUUAGUGAGGACUCCUGAUUGGCGCCGCCGCCCCGGCAACGGAGCAGCGGACUGCCGAAAAGUUGUUCAAACUUGAUCAUUUAGAGGAAGUAAAAGUCGUAACA